rnacentral:rRNA from 1 species
UAGGGAAUCUUCCGCAAUGGGCGAAAGCUUGACGGAGCAACGCCGCGUGAGGGAUGAAGGCCUUCGGAUCGUAAAACUCUGUUAUUAGGGAAGAACAAAUGUGUAAGUAACUAUGCACGUCUUGACGGUACCUAAUCAGAAAGCCACGGCUAACUACGUGCCAGCAGCCGCGGUAAUACGUAGGUGGCAAGCGUUAUCCGGAAUUAUUGGGCGUAAAGCGCGCGUAGGCGGUUUUUUAAGUCUGAUGUGAAAGCCCGCGGCUCAACCGUGGAAGGUCAUUGGAAACUGGAAAACUUGAGUGCAGAAGAGGAAAGUGGAAUUCCAUGUGUAGCGGUGAAAUGCGCAGAGAUAUGGAGGAACACCAGUUGCGAAGGCGACUUUCUAGUCUGUAACUGACGCUGAUGUGCGAAAGCGUGGGGAUCAAACAGG